GCCUUCGUGGUAUAAUGGUCAGCACACUCGGCUUGUAUUCGAGAGGUCCGAGGUUCGAGUCCCGGAGAGGGCA
rfam:Stegodyphus mimosarum contig4364, whole genome shotgun sequence.